rnacentral:lncRNA from 1 species
ACUAAAAAUCCGGGCUUCUGAUACGAAGGAAGUAAAGAAUGGCUUUGGGACCAAACAACCAGCAAUUUCUGCUUUUGGUGUGAAAUAGCGUGCCCAGAGUUUCUCAGUUGUGCCCUGUCUGCAGAAGACACUGCAUACCCCAGAGGUUUGUGCAGGCUUCCCACUGCAGCUGCCAUGCAGCAGAAACUGAAUGAUUCCAUAAAGUCAAGAAAUAACCAUGAUGGCUCUUCGUAAGCGAUCACUGGAGGUCCAGGGCAGUGUUCCCGGCCUGCCUCACAUAGGACGGUGAGGGGUGAG